rnacentral:sRNA from 1 species
AGAUUUAACAACUUUUUCGUCGCCACC